UACGUAGGGUGCAAGCGUUAAUCGGAAUUACUGGGCGUAAAGCGUGCGCAGGCGGCUUUGCAAGACAGAUGUGAAAUCCCCGGUCUUAACCUGGGAACUGCAUUUGUGACUGCAUGGCUGGAGUGCGGCAGAGGGGGAUGGAAUUCCGCGUGUAGCAGUGAAAUGCGUAGAUAUGCGGAGGAACACCGAUGGCGAAGGUAAUCCCCUGGGCCUGCACUGACGCUCAUGCACGAAAGCGUGGGGAGCAAACAGG
rnacentral:rRNA from 1 species